GNCGUCAAGUCNUCAUGGCCCUUACGACCGGGCUACACACGUACUACAAUGGUGGGGACAGAGGGCUGCAAACCGGCGACGGUGAGCCAAUCCCAGAAACCCUAUCUCAGUCCGGAUUGGAGUCUGCAACUCGACUCCAUGAAGUCGGAAUCGCUAGUAAUCGCAGAUCAGCAUUGCUGCGGUGAAUACGUUCCCGGGCCUUGUACACACCGCCCGUCACACCAUGGGAGUUUGUUGCACCAGAAGCAGGUAGCUUAACCUUCGGGAGGGCGCUUGCCACGGUGUGGCCGAUGACUGGGGUGAAGUCGUAACAAGGUAGCCGUAUCGGAAGGUGCGGUUGGAUCACUCNC
rnacentral:rRNA from 1 species